GGGUUCUGCUCUCUGGGGCUCGGCAAACACCGUGAGCAGGGGUCACCUGGCUCCUUUUGUCCCCCACACCGCCCCGGCGUUGUUGUGCCCUGCGAGCCGGCCCUGUGGGCCUUUCCUCCAGGAAUGUGUUUUCCCUGAGCCCUUCCCGCGUGUCCUUCCGCCCUCAGCCCGGGCUCUGGGGCGCAGGGCUGGGCAAGCUGUUCAGAAGCUCCGUUACACCGGUGCAGACGCUGCUGGGUGUGCUGAGCUGGGGAAGGGUCGGGCAGCAGGUGCCGUUCAAAGGCUCCUCGAGGGGAUUCCCGAGGUGCUGCUCUGCGUUAAUCCUGCUCUCGCUAAUGUGGUUUUUCCAUGUGUUGGUUUCCAGCCCCCGAGAAGAAGCGCGGAGAGGCUGUGUCUGGCUGGAAGCUGCCUAUUAACCAAACAGAGCCUGUAGAAUGUCUGACAUAAGUCGAGGAGAGGGAUUUGAUCUGGUUGAGAUGGCUGCAGUCAAGAGGCUCCUGGCUGGGUAAAUGCAAAGCCUAUGGCUCUCUUCCCUCAGACACUUCAGGCUGUACUGGUGCUCAGAAAAAGGUGGGUAGUGUCUUUCCUUCUUCACAGAGAGCAUAGAGAGGUGUAAAUUUUAAAGCUUAAUGAAAGCAAUGUGAGUACUAAUAAUAUUAUCCACUUAAAAGUAGAAACAUUUUGAUGUUCUAGAAUAAUCUCUCCUAAGGAAUAUAUUCUCAAUCUCUUUGUGAUGAAAAUAAUUUCAUGCAUGUUACUCUUUUUAUCUUCUCCUUCAGCUUUGAAACCUAUCUUGCAGAGAUCAGGGCUUAUCUCUUGUCUCAAGGGUUUCAGCCUCAGUGACUGGUUGAAAUUAGGCUCAGUUACAGAAAGUCUCUACUAGUAAGUAGAGGAGAAUCUUGGUUCCUAUGGCAUCCCAGGUCAGAAUGCCAUGCUGCUGGAAAGCUAAGGUAUCUCUCUGGGCUCUUACAGCACAGCAGGUUUUCAGAGGCAGUUCAGUUUCAUAGAAAUGCUCCUCCCAUCCUGUUCACCUUACUCCUUUACAGACUCCACAGUGACCACUGAAUUAACUGGCACUGAGCCCUUCCAGGACCAGGGUCUUAAGGAGAAAGUCAGGCUGGCCUUAAAGCAGAUUGGCUUUUCUUAAGUGCUCAGAUCCUGCCCUUUCCAAAGCCCAGGCUGUAGAGUAUGAACUGCAGAUAGAUUACAGAGUUCAGAGCAAUCUGGACACUCAAAUAUUGUCCUGAUUUUUUUCUCCUCUCACACAAUUUUCUAACAAUGCUCUCGUCUUCCACUGCUUUCUUCUGUUGACAAGCAGUAUUGUGUCUUUUGGAGUGAUGAAAGGCAAAGGCACUGAACAGCAUCAUCAACACGUGGCAGUUCCUUUCAUUUUUAAUUUAAUAAUCGACAGCCAAUGGACCAGUAAUGUACCUAAAUAAACCACAUUCAUAGAACAAAGGAAGAAGACACUCUUGAGCACUAGGUUUAAUACACAGCGGGUAUCCAACGGAUACAACAGAAAAGUUAAUUCAUUCAGAAUUGUAAGGAAGCAACAGUUGUGCAUUUUGAUUUUUUUGCUCAGUUUCACCAGGUACAAACAUUGGAACCAGGCCUCGGCAUCAGGCAGGUCCAUGGACAGAGUAAACGGAGACACUUGCUCAUUAUAACUGAGGGUAUUUUCAUUGCAAAACAAGGAAAUACAUAUUUAAUUAGCUGAAAAACUUUUUUUAAAACAAGGAAAGAGUUACAGAGAGGAUCAGUGACAAUUACAUGAAAUCAAAAGAGUCUGCUAAAGCAGAAGUGUUUCAAUUCAGCAGAGUAUCUCCCUCAUUCCUUAAGUGCUCUCUUCUCCUUCAGCCCCCAUGUUGCUUUUCUCUAUUCCUGAUGACUAUUGCCCUCUGUGCUUCAUCCACACACAUGGUUGUCGUGGAGACCAGCUGUUUCCCUACUUUUAAUUCUCUUUUUCCAGCACAAGCUGUCCUCUAACACCUGAGCUGUGGCAGACUCCUCCCUAAACAGUCUCAAGGAAAUGUCUUUUCUAUGGAUAGUGCCUGACUGCAGUGCCCUCUAGCUCUUGCCCUACUGGUAAUUAAUUGCCUUCUUCAGGUAAUGAGAGGGAAUUGACUUACAGCUCCAAGACUUUUCUUCCCACUCAUCUUUUGCAGAGACCAAAGUGACAGCAGCAGAAGCCCAGCCAAGGCGACAAGCUAGGUAAGAUUCAGUGCUGAAGAGGAUAAUUUCAGUAGGAAGGUGCAGGGAAACAGCAGCCAUGGUGCAGAUGAAUUAUCUGCAGUGUUCUGAUUGUCACAAAUAUCAGUGCUAAACUUUCUUGGCUUGGUCUAGAUGAGAAAGUCUGGUGCUUCUGGGUGUUAAACAUCAUCCAAGUAGAUGCCAAUCCUUAUGAGCAAUUCCUCCCACAGAUUUUAUAAAAUGGAAGCACUGGUGGGAAGUUGCUCACCAAUUUGCUCUUAUCUGCUCCAGAGAGGAUGGACACCUGGCACUGCUGGGUCACUGACAAGGGCCACUGGAGGACAGGGCAGCCUCCAGCCAGGAAGGAAACCACACACAGUUCGGGUAGAGGGUUCCUUUGUUGGCACAGUCUCUGCAGGGAGCUACUGAGUUGUGUUCGUGCUCUGCUUGCCAAGCUUUGGAAUAUUAAAGGAAAUGUAGUAGUGAAAACAUGAAGAGUCUGAGUGGGCCAACAGCUACUGAGCACAAGGAGCCCCUCUGUGAUAUCCUUACAUGCUAUGAACUUCUCUACAGCUGGAUUUUCAUUUGAAAACUAGAACCCCAUUCUGGUUUGCUGAGCAGGGUUGGUCACUGGCUGUAUCAUUUCGUGUGGAGCUGAAGUUUCCUGGCUUGUUCCUUUGAUCCAGCAGAGUUGAAAGGCCUGAGAAGCAUCCUUGGAGCAGUCAAGAAUUUCAGGGUAUCCAACUUCCCCUUUUACAUUAAACCUUCAUAAAAACAUCUGCCACUUAGCCCUCCCUUCCUUUGCAGAACAUUGAUGUGAUGUCUGCAGGCAAUUCUCCUGUUCUGACCUCAGCUCUGGAUCUAUGGCACCAGUUAAAUCCUCGCCACCAAAAAAAGUUUUCAGGUCAUGCAUUAUUCCUGUUGUUUCAGUUAGGGAAACUGAGGCCCAAAAUAGUUUCAGACUUCCAAUUACAGGAACUGUUGGAUUGUGCUCUGGUGCUCAAAGGAUACUUUUUACUCUUUGAUUCUUACUGAAGGAAAAAUGUUAUUUUUCAGCUCACAAAAUCUUGAAGAUACUGAAGCUUGUAGGCAAAGAUUAUGUUACUCUAACAGGGAUGUUAUUCCUUUUAAUGUGCUGUCUUAGGCAUUUACCUUGCUGGUGGCCUGACUCAAAAUCUUAUGUGAGGCUUUCUGCAAUUGCCCAGUUAAGAGUUCCCUCUUUCACCUGGGAGUGGUGACAGAUUUCAGCAAGCUGAGCUUUUCUGUCAGCCUGGCCUGGUUCCAUUCAUCUCCUUAUUGCUGGGAAAUUGAAAUAUUUUUAUCCUGGUUUGGGCUGAGGUACAGCUUGCUGAGGGUCUGCGAGCAGUGAGAACAGAGGUUACCUCUGCAGUGUCAAACAGCUUUGAUGCAGUGUGCAUCCUGUUAGUCUGGGAUGCAGCAGGUGAGACUCCAGAAACUGCUCAACUUGUGGAAGCACUGGUUUGGAAAACCCAAACCUUUGGGGUCUCAAGGCAGAUAAAACCAAACCAUUGAUUGUCAUUAGCCUUGAUGUAGUUGUGCCCAAGUCUCAGAGUAGAGCCCAACUGCUUGGCUUGGUGGAUUGCAGUGAGAGGCUGGGAUGUGCUCCAGCUGAGAUGGGAGUUCCCCAGCUUCACUCUCUCUCUCUCUGUGGCAGCUGCUCUCUGGGGACAAGGCUUUCUGAUACCUCACAUCUGUCAUCUGUCCCCUUCUGCUCUACUCCCACCUUGCCAACACAGUCAGAAUCUUGAGUGCUUUUUGUCAGUUGGUUCAAGAUUUUAGUGACAGGAGGUUUCACUACAUGGGCAUUGGAAAGGAAGCAGAUGUGGUGGGUGGUACUGCCAUGUGAAACAACUUCCCAAGGACAGCAGCACUAAAUGGGGAGUUAAAGAGCAAAGCCUGACUCCCCUAACAACCAAGGCUGUAUUUGCAGCCCCUCUUAGUUUUGCAUCUAGAAGGAAGAUUAGCAAAUGUUACACAGAAAAUAGAUCUUGAUAUAAGCUUCUUGAAAUAAACUCAUAGGGACACAAAUUCUUAAGAAACAGGAAUAAGAGAAAAAUACAUUUCAAAUGACUGCAAAAAAGUAUAAUUUGUCAAGUUUUGCAAUCUUAUGAAAACAAUUUAAAAGUGACACAAAAAUAUAUAUAAGUUUGAAAAAUACUUAAAAGAAAAAAGUACAGAUCUCACAAUACCAAAACAAAUGGACGUAUGGUUAAAAAGGAAAAAAAAAAAAAGACAUUGAAUAACACCGUAUUGGCAGUAAAAGUAAACCUCUCCAGGCAGUUGUGUUCUGUCAGUUUAAAGUGUCAGUUUGUGGAUCAAGGAUCCAUCUCUAACGUGCUCACAAGGACAACAUGAACUCUGAGCAUUAGCAGAACCUCAUAGCAGCGACUCAAAUCCAAGAGCAAAGUGUACAAGGGAAGAGAGCAGCGAGUUACUGUGCUCUGAGGCCUGACAUGUCCCAGCCUGCAUGGCCAUGGGCUCAUCUUCCUUCUGCCAGGCACAUAAUCUUUUCUGAGUCCCUGCUAAGGGAAGAUUUGUCAAAGAACUGUGAUGAGCAGUGGGCUAUGACAUGGACAACUGUGCUGUUGAGUGCCUGGCUGUGAGGCAAGCCUUGGCCUUCACCUUCUUGAGCCACUAUAGGUCUGGAGUGUCACAGGUGAAGACCAGCUCAGCGAGACUCUUCUCUCACCUGUGUCACACAGACUGGACUAAUGCUGCUGAUGGGACUGGGACUGCACUGGUAAGUGCUUCUGGGAGUCAGACAGGAAUAGAGCCUUCUGCUUCUGAGAAUAGGGGGAAGAUGUUGGGGUGGAAAAAAAGGUGCUAUUUCCUAGGACUUCCCUUCAGAGGGUGCCUGGAGAUUCCCCACCUCCAAUUCCAGGAGUUGUGCAGCAGUGGGCUUCCUGUGAAGGGAGAUUAUGAUGCUACUGAGCACAGCUUGUGAUGACAGAUUAAGGAAGGGCCGAACAGCUCCAGUCCCAUCCUGGGACUUGCACGAGGGGGUACAGCUGCUCAGGCCUGGGGCCUAGCAAAGUACAGUAUGCAGAGGGAAAUACUCUGGCUUUGUAGCCCUUCCCUACAAACCAGAACACUACUAAAAAAGGUGGUGAAGGACUGGAAUGAAGAUGUGUAGCCCUUUGUGAACAAACCUUGUGCCUUGCUGCACAGUCUCCCUUCAAGAGAGAAGCUCUGUGUAGCCAAGAAGGUGUAACUGGUUCUGCUGAUCAUCCCUGACCUUCUGAGGCUGGGUGGGCUGGCAGAUCCCAGUGUACUGCCAAUGGGGACAAAACAGACCUCUUGACUUAAUUGGGGAAGUCUUACUUCCAAAUGACCCACAUAGAAUUAGUGAUGCUUCCAUUAAUGUGAGUCUUCUAUUAAAAAGCCCUUAAGGGAGUGAAUUGCCUUGAAAGGUCUUUAGUUUCUCCAUUUCUAAGUCUCACUAAAAUGUCAGUUCUUUUGGUCUAUCUCUCUGGUAUUGUGUCCCCCAACCUCUCUAACCAAAUAAAUAACUCAUCACUUCCCACUGAGCAGCCAAUGCUGAUUCAGGACUGGUGUUCUUGCAGACAUCACAGGACCUCAUGCAGUACAGCAAAAGGGAAUUUUCUAAAAAGUGGGAAUUAAACGCCACACUAGUGAUCACACAACUAGGUCUUCAAGCUCAUGGUCAUUUGAGGCUCUCUGUGUGGUCUAAAAUAAAUGGUUAAAAGAUACAUAAUGUAAUUGUCUUUGUUUUUUGUUUUCUUUUUAUACAGAAAUCAUACACACAGAACUUCAACCUGAAACUUCAUAACAAAAAAGUCCACUAAGUUAAGGAAAGCAUUUUGUUGUGCAAAAAGUCCCUCCCCCCUCCCCUAUUCACCUUCAUCUACUGAGGGUCUCAUACACACACAUAAAGUUUCCUUCCAACGGGCGAGUUGGUAAGAAAGAGUCCUCCCUAUGUACAGUGAGUUAGAGAGAAGCUGGAUACAGUGCUGGCAAGAGGCACUGGCUGAUUGCCUCUAUCUGGAAGUGUCCAUGUUCUCCUCCUUAAAGUUACUGCAGUGCUCUAUAACUUUCCUAUGGAUAAAACAAGGACAAGGAGAGAGGGUUUAGUUUAAAGCUUAUUGCACCUCAGCUGUGGGACAGUAAGGUAAGAACUGUCCCAGAGUUGAUUUCUGUGUUAACAGUGUCCUGUUUGUAUCUGAGACACAAACUUUUUGUAUCUGUCAAAACCAGUAAACUCCACAAAAGCAGCUCCCAAUUUGGAACGUCAAGUUAUGGUAGUGCAUGUCCAGAUCCAGCUGUGACCAUUCAUUCAUUACCCCUACACCCAAAACCUCAGAUGCCUUUAAAUCCCACCAGGAAAUACAUUAUUACAAAUGUUUGUCCUUCACUGUGCUGUCACCUGUCCCAUCCCACACACUGUGUGUAACUGUGACUGUCUCCUGCAGGCUCCAGUCCCCUCCAGAAUUUAGGAACCCUCAGCUGUGGGAAUACCUGCUGCCCACUCACCAGCAGGUUGCUGCCAAGACAGAAGAGAUCACUUAGAGCUGCUGAUGCAGUAAAGAUUCACAAGUGUCCAGAUGAUUCAGGUGAAGAGAUCAGAGCCUAGCUGGUGACCAGCCAGGCACUCACCUGAACACACUGAUGAACUGGGAGGUCAUGAGCUGCGGGCGGAGCUCCUUCACUUCUGCCACAUUGCCCAGGAGGCCCAGCAUAUUGCGGUGCAGCUCCUGCUUCUCUGGGAACUCCUGGCCAGGCAAGGAACAGGAUUAUACACAGUGUAGGAAGUAAUGCUUGGAGAGGAGCAGAGCCAGGGAUCCUGCCCAGGCACCUGCAUCUCCACUGCUCCUGUCAGCAUCUCUUCAGAGACAAUCAGACACUUACUUUCAAGCACUCCAAGAACAGUUUCAUGCCACUGUAGUUAAGGAACAUCUCACAGUUAUCUGGGGUCUCAUCAGUGAUGUUCCAGAGGGCACUCCAGGAGAACUCCAUCACCUGAUCACACUAUAGGGAAAAGGACAGAGUCAGAGCUUUGAUAAUGCAGGAGCCUGGUGCAAGCCAAUCACCUGUCUCCUCUCUGGCAUCACCCUAGAUGACUUCAGAGCUUCUUUGUGGUCGUUGUCCACCUGGCAGACCAGGGCGUUGCAGAGGUGCACAGCGAUGCGCUGGAUGGACUCGUCCUGCCGGCUCUGGUUGAGGAUGUUGAGCAGCAGCUCGUUCACUCGGCGGUACUGGAACUCCAGCUCCUCGGGAAUGCUGAAGUUACACAGUGUCAGGCAGCAGUUCCUCUGCACCUGGGGCAAAAGGAAGCAAGCACUGGGCCAAGUGGCUACAAAAGCACAGACCCCACCAUCUCAUGUUUCCUUGCUGCUUGGUACUCAAAGCAUCUUCUUGCCUGACUACAACUACUGAGAUUCCUGUUACCCUCUGAUCUCGUGCUGUGCUUUAGCCAUGCUCCAUGACUGUCACUCCAGCCUCACAAGGCCACCCAAUUAUCCAGGGCCCAUUGCUUUCCAAGCCAGUUCCUCACUGCUGAUUGGCUCUCUAAACAGCUGACUUCCAGUACAGAGAUUUGAGAUGCUUCUUUCUGCUGACUCAACAUGCCCUUUACCCACAACAAUUUCACCCUACAGUCAGUGCUGGGUAUCUGUGUGUCACACACACACUUUGACCACCAUUCAUGGAAAAAAAGGAGCACCCUGCAUGUAAUCCCCGUUGCUGAGUGGAGACCAGGAGCAGACCUGGGCAAGCAGUAACUUCUCUACCUUAACUCCCUGCAGGCAGAGGAAACCCAAAUGCUGACACCAGGCUAAAGAAUUGAUACAGGGGAAGAGGACUAUGGGAACCAAAGGUGCCUGGGGUGCUCUUACUGUGACCUCCUGGUAGGACUCCAUGCCAUUCAGCACCACCUGGAUGACCUGGCGCCGCAGCUUCACGCUCUGCUCCAUGCGGUACUCGGAGUUGGUCAGGUAGAACAGCGCAGCGCUGCCUGUCACCUGGAUGUUUUUGUCAUCCUUGUGGCACUUGAGGGCUGUGAUCACCAGCUGCAGAGAAGCAACACAGAGCUUCAGUGCCACACACUUGCUGCUGAUUCUUGGAGUGACUGUUAGAAGCCCACAAUGAAAGUGUGGCCCAGGCAUAGCAGGAACGUGCUUAGGAAAUGAAGGUACCCAGUUCCACUGCGCUACUGGAACUUUCUCUGGAAUGGCCUGCUACAGUGUCCCAGGGUGGAAAAAAAAACUGGGAAUGCAAAAUUCCCCUUGUCAGGGUGAGGCCAAAGCUUACCUGGAGGGCUCUCAGGAGCUGGCUGCAGCGCUCGAUGCGGGCAAUGUCGAAAAGCAGGUUGAUGGCCCGGGAGGUGAUUUCCGGCCGGUGCUCGGUGUAAGCCUCGAUGGCAUUCAGGACUUGCUCUUCGUUCUUGUCUCCACUCACCUGGUGUGGAAGAGCAAAAAGAGUCAGGGGAGAAAUUAUGAAGGAGGAAAACCGACAUGAGAAGGAAACUCUGGAAGGUCAAAGGGUAUACCUUCCCUUUGCCCUGAGAGAGUAGAUUCAGCCCAGGAUGAGACAGAGGUUGAGUCACUUUUCAGUCCAGAGGGAUGAGAAAGGGCACCUUUGGGGUAGGAGGAUGCUAUUCAAAAGUAGGACUCCUACUGUCUUAAAUCCUUUUCUGUAGUCACAGAUAUCCUCCAGGCAGGAUGGUUUCUCCAUGCUUUUCUCCAAUGUUUUUCAAUCCUUAUAAAAACUAUGUGGGGUACAGGUCUUGCUUUCUGACAGUUUUCUUGCAUUAUGAAGUAGUUAUUGAAAGGUCAGAGCUCAGCUGUCACACCCAAGACCCAAAGAACUCCAUUCUACUGGCAGCCAGGGUUCUCAUGUUCUUUCAACCUCUAGCAAGUUCCUACUGCCAAUAUUCCUGCAGCCUCCUUACCUUGUAGGCUGGAAUAUGAGUCAGGCGGCAGAGGGAUGUUUCAAAAAGGCCCAAGAACUGCAGCGGUCGUUUCAGGCCUCGGAAGGGAGCAAUGCUGCUCUUUGCUGGCUCAAUGCUGGGGGGAAAACACACGAGAUUGCUCAUGUUGGUACCAUGUUUCUUUCUGACACAGAGAUGGCUGCAGUCCUCCAUUCACUUUGGCUGUACUGCUUCAUACCCAGAGUGGCAAAAGCUACACUUCAUUUUAUACCAGGCAGCUGCUUAUGAACAUAACUCUAAAUACUCAUCCCAGGUGAUCCUGAGUGAGAGGUGAACAGCUGAAUGGAACCAGCAGAAAGAAUUACUGCAGACAGGAUGCAGCUUUCCCAGGUCACCUGCCCAAGAAGACUACCCGGAGUCCCUGGUCACGGCUCUCUGGGCGCUGGGGCUCCGUCAGCCCGCGAGAGUCUCUAUCAACCCCGCGGGCAGCGCUGGCCCCGAACCCGAGCCAUCCCUCGUCCCCGAGG